CAACGCCGCGUGAGUGAUGAAGGUUUUCGGAUCGUAAAACUCUGUUGUUAGGGAAGAACAAGUACCGUUCGAAUAGGGCGGUACCUUGACGGUACCUAACCAGAAAGCCACGGCUAACUACGUGCCAGCAGCCGCGGUAAUACGUAGGUGGCAAGCGUUGUCCGGAAUUAUUGGGCGUAAAGCGCGCGCAGGCGGUUUCUUAAGUCUGAUGUGAAAGCCCCCGGCUCAACCGGGGAGGGUCAUUGGAAACUGGGGAACUUGAGUGCAGAAGAGGAGAGUGGAAUUCCACGUGUAGCGGUGAAAUGCGUAGAGAUGUGGAGGAACACCAGUGGCGAAGGCGACUCUCUGGUCUGUAACUGACGCUGAGGCGCGAAAGCGUGGGGAGCGAACAGGAUUAGAUACCCUGGUAGUCCACGCCGUAAACGAUGAGUGCUAAGUGUUAGAGGGUUUCCGCCCUUUAGUGCUGCAGCAAACGCAUUAAGCACUCCGCCUGGGGAGUACGGUCGCAAGACUGAAACUCAAAGGAAUUGACGGGGGCCCGCACAAGCGGUGGAGCAUGUGGUUUAAUUCGAAGCAACGCGAAGAACCUUACCAGGUCUUGACAUCCUCUGACAACCCUAGAGAUAGGGCUUCCCCUUCGGGGGCAGAGUGACAGGUGGUGCAUGGUUGUCGUCAGCUCGUGUCGUGAGAUGUUGGGUUAAGUCCCGCAACGAGCGCAACCCUUGAUCUUAGUUGCCAGCAUUCAGUUGGGCACUCUAAGGUGACUGCCGGUGACAAACCGGAGGAAGGUGGGGAUGACGUCAAAUCAUCAUGCCCCUUAUGACCUGGGGCUACACACGUGCUACAAUGGGCAGAACAAAAGGGCAGCGAAAGCC
rnacentral:rRNA from 1 species